rnacentral:rRNA from 1 species
UACGUAGGAUGCAAGCGUUGUCCGGAAUUAUUGGGCGUAAAGAGCGCGCAGGCGGUAUGACAAGUCAGAUGUGAAAGAGGCCGGCUUAACCGGCAAGGGUCAUUUGAAACUGUCAGACUAGAGUGCAGCAGAGGAUAGUGGAAUUCCCGGUGUAGUGGUGAAAUGCGUAGAUAUCGGGAGGAACACCAGUGGCGAAGGCGACUAUCUGGGCUGCAACUGACGCUGAGGCGCGAAGGCUAGGGUAGCAAACAGA